GGUUUCGGCUGUCACUUACAGAUGGACCCGCGGCGCAUUAGCUAGUUGGUGGGGUAAUGGCUCACCAAGGCGACGAUGCGUAGCCGACCUGAGAGGGUGAUCGGCCACACUGGGACUGAGACACGGCCCAGACUCCUACGGGAGGCAGCAGUAGGGAAUCUUCCGCAAUGGACGAAAGUCUGACGGAGCAACGCCGCGUGAGUGAUGAAGGUUUUCGGAUCGUAAAGCUCUGUUGUUAGGGAAGAACAAGUGCGAGAGUAACUGCUCGCACCUUGACGGUACCUAACCAGAAAGCCACGGCUAACUACGUGCCAGCAGCCGCGGUAAUACGUAGGUGGCAAGCGUUGUCCGGAAUUAUUGGGCGUAAAGGGCUCGCAGGCGGUUUCUUAAGUCUGAUGUGAAAGCCCCCGGCUCAACCGGGGAGGGUCAUUGGAAACUGGGAAACUUGAGUGCAAAAAAAGAGAGUGGAAUUCCACGUGUAACGGUGAAAUGCGUAAAGAUGUGUGAAGAACACCGGUG
rnacentral:rRNA from 1 species